rnacentral:rRNA from 1 species
GGGGAAGGGUAGCUUGCUACCUGACCUAGCGGCGGACGGGUGAGUAAUGCUUAGGAAUCUGCCUAUUAGUGGGGGACAACAUUCCGAAAGGAAUGCUAAUACCGCAUACGCCCUACGGGGGAAAGCAGGGGAUCUUCGGACCUUGCGCUAAUAGAUGAGCCUAGGUCAGAUUAGCUAGUUGGUGGGGUAAAGGCCUACCAAGGCGACGAUCUGUAGCGGGUCUGAGAGGAUGAUCCGCCACACUGGGACUGAGACACGGCCCAAACUCCUACGGGAGGCAGCAGUGGGGAAUAUUGGACAAUGGGCGAAAGCCUGAUCCAGCCAUGCCGCGUGUGUGAAGAAGGCCUUUUGGUUGUAAAGCACUUUAAGCGAGGAGGAGGCUACUGAGAUUAAUACUCUUGGAUAGUGGACGUUACUCGCAGAAUAAGCACCGGCUAACUCUGUGCCAGCAGCCGCGGUAAUACAGAGGGUGCGAGCGUUAAUCGGAUUUACUGGGCGUA